rnacentral:misc_RNA from 1 species
AGUCGUAACAAGGUUUCCGUAGGUGAACCUGCGGAAGGAUCAUUAACGCGCAGGCCGGAGGCUGGCCCCCCACGAUAGGAAUCAACGUUCCAUCAGGGGUGUGCAGAUGUGCGCCGGUCUUACGCCCCAUUCUUGUCUACCUUACUCGGUUGCCUCGGCGGGCCGCGCUCUCCUGGGAGAGUCGUCCGGCGAGCCUCUUUGGGGGCUUUAGCUGGAUCGCGCCCGCCGGAGGACAGACAUCAAAAAAUCUUGGAAAGCUGUCAGUCUGAGCGUUAGCAAGUAAAAUUAGUUAAAACUUUCAACAACGGAUCUCUUGGUUCCGGCAUCGAUGAAGAACGCAGCGAAAUGCGAUAAGUAAUGUGAAUUGCAGAAUUCCGUGAAUCAUCGAAUCUUUGAACGCACAUUGCGCCCUCUGGUAUUCCGGGGGGCAUGCCUGUUCGAGCGUCAUUUCAACCCCUCAAGCCCGGCUUGUGUGAUGGACGACCGUCCGACCUCCUCUUUCGGGGGCGGGACGCGCCCGAAAAGCAGUGGCCAGGCCGCGAUCCCGGCUUCCUGGGCGAAUGGGCAGUCAAACCAGCGCCCUCAGGACCGGCCGCUCUGGCCUUCCCCCAAAUCUCUCUGAGAUAUUUUUUCAGGUUGACCUCGGAUCAGGUAGGGAUACCCGCUGAACUUAAGCAUAUCAAUAAGCGGAGGA